UACGUAGGGACCAAGCGUUGUUCGGAUUUACUGGGCGUAAAGGGCGCGUAGGCGGCAAUUCAAGUCAUCUGUGAAAUCUCCGGGCUUAACCCGGAACGGUCAGAUGAUACUGCUUUGCUAGAGUGCGGAAGGGGCAAUCGGAAUUCUCGGUGUAGCGGUGAAAUGCGUAGAUAUCUGGAGGAACACCGGUGGCGAAGGCGGCAUCCUGGACCGGUAUUGACGCUGAGGCGCGAAAAGCCCAGGGGAGGCAAACGGG
rnacentral:rRNA from 1 species